CGGGUUGCUUGGGAAUGCAGCCCAAAGCGGGUGGUAAACUCCAUUUAAGGCUAAAUACCGGCACGAGACCGAUAGUCAACAAGUACCGUAAGGGAAAGUUGAAAAGAACUUUGAAGAGAGAGUACAAGAGGGCGUGAAACCGUUAAGAGGUAAAUGGGUCAGGUCCGCGCAGUCCGCCCGGAGGAUUCAACCCGGUGGCGGA
rnacentral:lncRNA from 1 species